rnacentral:rRNA from 1 species
GACGUAGGGGGCAAGCGUUGUCCGGAAUCAUUGGGCGUAAAGCGCGUGUAGGCGGCCCGGUAAGUCCGCUGUAAAAGUCCAGGGCUCAACCCUGGAAAGCCGGUGGAUACUGUCGGGCUAGAGUCCGGAAGAGGCGAGUGGAAUUCCUGGUGUAGCGGUGGAAUGCGCAGAUAUCAGGAGGAACACCGAUGGCGAAGGCAGCUCGCUGGGACGGUACUGACGCUGAGGCGCGAAAGCGUGGGGAGCGAACAGG